rnacentral:lncRNA from 1 species
UACAUAGACACACACAUAUACACUUAUGCACAGGCUGUAGUAUAUAUAUACAGGUCCCAUAUUUCUCUGUGUGUAUAUCCCUAGAAGUUACAUAUACCUGAAGGCCAUCAAAGAGGUCAUUGAGUUAAAGAGUUGUCAUUCAGCCCAAUCCCUUUGAAUGGAAACUGACUUUCAGAAAGUCUCAGCCAUGUUUGGAAGGUCCCCAGGUAAGAUGCAGCCCUGCCCCCUGACUGGCUAGUGGCCCAUCCCUUGCCCCAGGCCGCCCCUCCCCCUGGGCUCACAUAGAAGGGAUCCAGCCCCAGCUGAGCUUCUCUGACCUUUCCAGCUCUGAAUGGACAAUAACUGCUGAUAUUGAUUUGUCCGUGUCUGAGAGGAAGGGAAGAUGGCUCUGCCUUGAUGACUGUGCCUACCUGAACCUUCAGCUCAUUUGCUUGUUUUCCUCAGGGAGGAGCCUCAUACAUGUGCAGGGACCCCAGCAGUCAUCACUGAUGAACUGAAAGGAGGACUUUGGCAGGAGAUGGGCCCAGGCUCGGCUCCUCUGGGGUGUACUGCUCUGCAUCUCAGGUUCCCAGGGGGCUGUUGUGCUGCAGCCUCCUUGUCAGUGUCACCAGGACCCAGAGUCCACAUCAAGUGUAAGGUCAGCUCAGAUAUUUCUCAUGAUUUUCAAUGGUACCACCAGAAACCAGCAGCGACACCAAAUCUCCUUAUUCACAACUCAGCUGGCCUGGGACAGAUGUCACCCUCUGCCUCAGCUGUGCCGAACCUGAGGUCACUGAAGGCAGGUCCAUACCUCACCUCCCACAGCGCUCCAGGCCCAAACAGAACCCUCCCAUGGGGCAGAUCAGCAUGGCUUGGCUGCCCCAGCUGGUUCCUCCUGCCCUGGCAGUUGAGCGGAGGGCCACAUCUCUGCCUGGGUUCAUGGGAAGGAUUUCCUGAGGUCUGAAGGACACUGUGAGCCUGAGCCCAUCCUGUCUUCUCUCAGAAACGAGGUCACUGCUUGUGAUAGGUGAGUAUAAUGGAAUAACAUGAGGGCAAGAGAAAUGAGGACGUGGACAAUUUCAGAGGACACUGGGAAGGCCUCUGUGAACUGAUGCAGACUGAGGUGAGCAGAGCUGGGAGAGCCGCUGAAACAAGGAUAAGGAUGUGACAGAAAUAACUUGGAAAGCCUUUAGAACCGGGAUCAAGGCCAGGGUGGACCACGAGUCCCAAAGAAUGAACAUGAAAUGUCCUCACCUCCUCCCAGAGAAGGACAUACAUUUUCAGGUGUGGCAAAUGUGGGAAUUAGUUUCAUCAGAAUAUAGGACUAUAUGUUGAGGGCUUUAUUUCAAUUUUAAAAAUUUUGCUUAAUAGGAAUGGGGUGGGAGAUACUGAUUAAUAAAAAUGUAUGUUAAUUGAAAAUAAAAAUAAUA